rnacentral:rRNA from 1 species
UACGGAGGGUGCAAGCGUUAUCCGGAUUUACUGGGUUUAAAGGGUGCGUAGGUGGGUAAGUAAGUCAGUGGUGAAAUCUUCGAGCUUAACUCGGAAACUGCCAUUGAUACUAUUUAUCUUGAAUACUUUGGAGGUAAGCGGAAUAUGUCAUGUAGCGGUGAAAUGCUUAGAUAUGACAUAGAACACCAAUUGCGAAGGCAGCUUACUACACAGUUAUUGACACUGAGGCACGAAAGCGUGGGGAUCAAACAGGAUUAGAUACCCUGGUAGUCCACGCCCUAAACGAUGGAUACUCGACAUUAGCGAUACACAGUUAGUGUCUGAGCGAAAGCAUUAAGUAUCCCACCUGGGAAGUACGAUCGCAAGAUUGAA